rnacentral:lncRNA from 10 species
GGUUUUUAAAAUUUUCUGAAUUUUCCAAAUUAACAAAAACACAUUCUAGUCUGUUGAAUAGGAAAAAAAUACUACUUAAAAAAAUAAGGAAAAGUUGUAUGCCAUUUUAGAAACAAAAUUGUACUUAAAUCUCUGAAUUUUCUAGGCAGUUAAAUUUUUGAGCUCUUCUGUGGACUGUUUCUAAAUAAAAAUGAGUAGAUCCAUUAACAAUUGAUCAGUUUAUACAAGUGAUAAAUAGCAAGGUGAAUGUUUCCCAUACAUAUCUCAUUUCCCAUACUCAGGAUGUGCUUGCAUAAGUAGGAAUUGAGAGCAAAAGAAAUGGUAGGCUGUUGGGUCAUGGGCAAGAGACGAUUUAGUUGGCCAAAGAAGCAUAUUUUCUUAAGCAAAUGUUGGCCAAGAUGUUACUUUAUGUUUUCGGGCUGUCUUCACUGUAGUUGGAGAACUGUGAACUCUUGGUAUUAAGUACUCAGUAGGAGCAAAGAACCAUUUGGAAUGUCUGUCAAUCUUAAAUAGAACUGCAGCUGUUUGGCUGAGAGGUGAAAUGGACCUGGAUUUCUUUUUUUUGGCGGGGGGGCUUUGAAAGUAGUUUUUGUAUAACAAAGAGGUGAUGAGAACUAAAGUGAUUACAAAAGUGUUCAUAGGAGUUCAGUUUCUUUCCAGGCUUUGGGUUUAAGAAUGACUGUUUCUGCCCAUGGGGAAAUAAAUUGGCAUUUUUCUGCUUUCGUUUGUUUUUUAGUUAUUGAUGUUCUAGAAAUUUCAACAAAAUAAGGAGUGUUUUUGUAUUUCAAAUGUAGUGCCCGUUUCUUUAUUUCUUUCUGGUACUUUCCACUGGUUUGUGUUGAUAAUAUGAUCUGGAAGGUAGCGAUAAUGCAUGGGAAUUUAUAAAUGAUCACAAAAUACUUUGUCACAGGAAAUCUGGAGAAAUAAUGACUUUGGCAUAUGUAUAAGAGAAGUAUCUCUAACUGUUAAGUCUAAACUAAAAGCUUGUUACUUUUCGGUUUGGUAUAACCAAAAAAAAUUUGAAAAAUAAAAUAGAAGUAAUGAUUUGUUUUCUCAGGUGUAGUUGUAUUUGACUGACUCUAUUGUAGGAGGACACGUUUAAGACUGAAUGGUUGGAUAACGGUAAAGACGUCCUUUCAAUGGAGAGUUGAAUCUGAUAGGUUGAAGUUUUGGAUAUUGAAUGAAAAGAGAAAAGAGAGCCGGACAAGCUGAAAAUUCCUGUAGUUCCAACUACUGGGGAGGCUGAGGUGGGAGGAUCACCUGAGCCCAGGAGUUUGAGACUGCAGUGAGCUAUGAUCAUGCCACUGCGUUCCAGUCU